GAUCAUGGCUCAGAACGAACGCUGGCGGCAUGCCUAACACAUGCAAGUCGAACGAAGCCUUCGGGCUUAGUGGCGCACGGGUGCGUAACGCGUGGGAAUCUGCCCUUGGUUCGGAAUAACAGUUAGAAAUGACUGCUAAUACCGAAUGAUGUCUUCGGACCAAAGAUUUAUCGCCCAAGGAUGAGCCCGCGUCGGAUUAGCUAGUUGGUGAGGUAAAGGCUCACCAAGGCGACGAUCCGUAGCUGGUCUGAGAGGAUGAUCAGCCACACUGGGACUGAGACACGGCCCAGACUCCUACGGGAGGCAGCAGUGGGGAAUAUUGGACAAUGGGCGAAAGCCUGAUCCAGCAAUGCCGCGUGAGUGAUGAAGGCCUUAGGGUUGUAAAGCUCUUUUACCCGGGAUGAUAAUGACAGUACCGGGAGAAUAAGCCCCGGCUAACUCCGUG
rnacentral:rRNA from 1 species